rnacentral:tRNA from 1 species
GCCUCCGUAGCUCAGUGGUAGAGCAACGCACUUGUAAUGCGUAGGCCGUCAGUUCGAUCCUGACCGGGGGCUCCA